AACCGGUAAUUUACACCCUUAAUUACGUGAUUAACAGGUAAUUACGCAAUAAUAAAUAGGGUUUACGACGCAAAUUAACUUAAUUAGGCCCUUGGAGUGCCUAGGAACGCUUAUCCGACCCUACAAUACGCUUUUGAAGAUUCGCGCGGCAUCUGCGGAACAUCAAUUGACAACGGACUGAAACCGUACGAAAUACUGACAACGCCAACAAAUAUGGAUAUUACAUGAAUAUUCUAUGCUCAUGGAGUUUGGGUCGCGAUAUCGGGUCUCGUAGGAAUUACGGGCCACCUACUCAUGAGAUGGGCUUGUGGGCCCUGAGGCCAAGUCCAAAACCCGCAAGCCUAAACCUGCAUAAUAUAUAAGAUCUACAAAAUAUAGCCAAAUCUCUACAAAAGAUUUGCAAUAAUCCUACUAAAUCCUAAAAUCUCUAUAAAUCUUUACAAAAGAUAUCAUCUCAAAAGAUAUAACAUAUAACCUGAAUAGAAUUUGAAAACAUAAAGGAUAAUAAAAGUUGGCCACUCUAUUAAUACACAUCCACUCCUUCUCAUCUAAACUCACACUGCCUUUCACCUUCCUCCCUCUCGGUUACAUAUACAAACACAGGGAAUUUCUCACCUGCACAAGACAAAAACCCAAAUCAAACAACUUUCCUCACCAAACAAAACCCAACCCAACCCAGCCGACCACCCCUACCCCUCUCGGUCUAUCUCUCCUCUCGUUCUAUACAUUCAAACACAAAGAAAUCAGCUCCCAACCCACUUGUUUUACCCCCUAUUAAUGGGCCAACCACCACCAUCCUUUGGUGGUGGCAGACUACAACAACAAACACCACCACCACCACAGGCGGCGGCGCUGUGGUGGUUGGUACCGAAUGAUGAAGAGAACAGAACCGCCGCACGCGGCGGCGGUAUGACGGCAAGAGAGAGAGAGAGUAGAGAGAGAUGGUGACAGCGGCUGACUAGCGACGGAGCCGUCUCUCCGACGGCGGCGGCGGUGGUCUGAGACUUAGACCGGCAGUUCGUGUUACGGACCGGUGGUUCGUGUCAAGAUCCAGCGGUUUUUGCUUUUGACUAAUGGGUUAACCGGGAGUAGCGGCUGAAGACGGUGGUGAUGACGAUGGUGACGGCAGUGGCAGCGUGACGGUGGUUGUGUCUCGAUCCACGAGAUUUCCGCAAACGUCAACAGUUGGGGUUCGGGUUAGAUGUUGAGUUUCGGGUUUUCGGGUGCAGGUCAGCGCUGUGGUUCAGCUUGUUGCGGUUCACACGGUUCAGCAGGUUUAAUUUUCGGGCCAACUGGUUAACGGGUUGACUCGGUCAAACUGAGUCAACUCAGUCAACAAGUCAAAGCUGGUCAACAUCGAGUCAUUGCUCGGGCUUGGUCAACUCGGGUCAGAUUAGGAAGCGGUUCGGUCGACUCGGUCAAACCCGGUCAACAGCGAGUUGACUCGGUCAACUCAGCUAGCUCACUCGACAUUUCGUCACGAAGACUUGGUAAAAACUAAUGACAAGUUUAGUAUUUUCGUGAUUUAUACUUACGUGAUAACGAGCUCGAACCAAACAAAAUAAUGAAAGUAAUAGUUAAAGAGUACUUUGAUUUAUUAUUUCGUUUUUAUAAAUUGAUGAUACGUAAUUAUUGUUGAAUA